rnacentral:lncRNA from 1 species
UGGGAAUGGUGUGGUGAGUGGGAAGGCGAGACUUGGAAGUGGCAGUCGGUGACUGGGCAGUGGGAGAACUGCCUGGUUUGGACCUGUGCCUCUCCUGUCAGGAGGAACUCAGACACAUUUCACGAGUAAAAUAAGCAAUUGUGAGAUUCCUUCGUGUUCCUCCACAGAAAAGCCUCAAAAAGCAAGAGGAAAAUCCUGGCUGACAGGCUGUUCUGUGGGUCUUAAGAAAUCGUUAAGAAACCAUCAUGAAAAGCAAAAGCAGCUUCGCACAGUCC